rnacentral:rRNA from 1 species
AGUGAACGCUGGCGGUAGGCCUAACACAUGCAAGUCGAACGGCAGCACAGUAAGAGCUUGCUCUUACGGGUGGCGAGUGGCGGACGGGUUAGGAAUACAUCGGAAUCUACUUUUUCGUGGGGGAUAACGUAGGGAAACUUACUCUAAUACCUCAUACGACCUACGGGUGAAAGCAGGGGAUCUUCGGACCUUGCGCGAUUGAAUGAGCCGGUGUCGGAUUAGCUAGUUGGCGGGGUAAAGGCCCACCAAGGCGACGAUCCGUAGCUGGUCUGAGAGGAUGAACAGACAGACUGGAACUGAGACACGGACCAGACUCCUACGGGAGGCAGCAGUGGGGAAUAUUGGACAAUGGGCGCAAGCCUGAUCCAGACAUACCGCGUGGGUGAAGAAGGCCUGCGGGUUGUAAAGCCCUUUUGUUGGGAAAGAAAAGCAGAAGGUUAAUACCCCGCUGUUCUGACGGUACCCAAAGAAUAAGCACCGGCUAACUUCGUG